rnacentral:rRNA from 1 species
GACAACAUCCUGAAAGGGGUGCUAAUACCGCAUGUGGAUAUUUAGUCGCAUGACUUUUUAUCUAAAGGCCUUCGGGUCGCUUCGAGAUGGGCUUGCGGCCUAUCAGGUAGUUGGUGGGGUAACGGCCUACCAAGCCUUCGACGGGUAGCUGGUCUGAGAGGACGAUCAGCCGGAUUGGGACUGAGAUACGGCCCAGACUCCUACGGGGGGCAGCAAUUAGGAAUCUUGCACAAUGGGCGAAAGCCUGAUGCAGCGACGCCGCGUGAAGGAUGAAGGAUUUCGGUCUGUAAACUUCUUUUAAGUGGGAAGAAAUUUGACGGUACCACUUGAAUAAGCCCCGGCUAACUACGUGCCAGCAGCCGCGGUAAUACGUAGGGGGCGAGCGUUGUCCGAAGUUACUGGGCGUAAAGCGCGCGUAGGCGGCUAUUUAAGUCUGGGGUGAAAGGUUCAGCGCUCAACGUGAACAUUGCCUUGGAUACUGGAUGGCUUGAGUCUGACAGAGGGAAACGGAAUUCCUGGUGUAGCGGUGAAAUGCGUAGAUAUCAGGAGGAACACCGGUGGCGAAGGCGGUUUCCUGGGUUAAGACUGACGCUGAGGUGCGAAAGCGUGGGGAGCGAACGGGAUUAGAUACCCCGGUAGUCCACGCCGUAAACGAUGAGUGCUAGGUGUUCGGGG